rnacentral:rRNA from 1 species
AUUGAACGCUGGCGGCAUGCCUUACACAUGCAAGUCGAACGGCAGCACGGGUGCUUGCACCUGGUGGCGAGUGGCGAACGGGUGAGUAAUACAUCGGAACAUGUCCUGUAGUGGGGGAUAGCCCGGCGAAAGCCGGAUUAAUACCGCAUACGAUCUACGGAUGAAAGCGGGGGACCUUCGGGCCUCGCGCUAUAGGGUUGGCCGAUGGCUGAUUGGCUAGGUGGUGGGGUAAGGGCCUACCAAGGCGACGGUCAGUAGCUGGUCUGAGAGGGCGACCAGCCACACUGGGACUGAGACACGGCCCAGACUCCUACGGGAGGCAGCAGUGGGGAAUUUUGGACAAUGGGCGAAAGCCUGAUCCAGCAAUGCCGCGUGUGUGAAGAAGGCCUUCGGGUUGUAAAGCACUUUUGUCCGGAAAGAAAUCCUUGGCCCUAAUACGGUCGGGGGAUGACGGUACCGGAAGAAUAAGCACCGGCUAACUACGUG